GGAUUAGAUACCCUGGUAGUCCAUGCCGUAAACGUUGGGCACUAGGUGUGGGGCCUAUUCCACGGGUUCCGUGCCGUAGCUAACGCAUUAAGUGCCCCGCCUGGGGAGUACGGCCGCAAGGCUAAAACUCAAAGGAAUUGACGGGGGCCCGCACAAGCGGCGGAGCAUGCGGAUUAAUUCGAUGCAACGCGAAGAACCUUACCAAGGCUUGACAUGCACUGGGAGUCACCAGAGAUGGUGGUGUCUUCGGACUGGUGCACAGGUGGUGCAUGGUUGUCGUCAGCUCGUGCCG
rnacentral:rRNA from 1 species